rnacentral:tRNA from 1 species
GGCUUUAUAUUCAUGUUUGUGAUUACAGUAUGCAAUUUUGUAGGGAUGGUAAAUUUGCCAUUAAGGCCU